GGGAGGCCAAGGCAGGAGGAUCACUUGAGGUCAGGAAUUUGAGACCAGCCUGGCCAACAUGGUGAAACUCCCUCUCUAUUAAAAAUACAAAAAAUUAGCUGGGCGUGGUGGCACAGGCCUGUAAACCCAGCUACUUGGGAGGCUGAGGCAGAAGAAUCACUGGAACCCGGGAGGCAGAGGUUCUAGUGAGUUGAGAUGGCACCACUGCACUCCAGCCUGAGCAACAGAGCGAGAUUCUGUCUCCAAAAAAAAUAGAUAAAUAAAAAUAAAUUUACAUCAUAGUUUCAUUUCAGAAAAUGUCAAUAUAUUUUAAACCAUACCAAAAUUUUGUGUGUAUGGUAUAUGUGUUAUAUUAAUAAUUUCAGAUAACUGUAAACUUAUUUUACGCACAGAAGCGCCUGCAAAGACAUUUACAAACUGUUCUGGAUGCAGAUUUCAGCGUCCAGCAUUCCUGGUCCUGCCUCUAGAUGCCUGUAAUGCCCUCCAAUCAAUGCUGCAGCCAAAAACAAUUAUGCAAAUUUCCCAAGCUCCCACCAGGGUGCGGUCGUGUCCCGUUUGAGAAGAACCAAUCCAUGAGGGGAUUCUGAAUGAGCAUGUGUGUGUGUGUGUGUGUGUGUGUGUGUGUGUGUGUGUGUGUGUGUGUGUGUACAUUGGGUUCCAGAGCUCAGGAGAGAGGUCUGUGCUGGAGAUUAAAACUGGCUGGACUGUCCUCUGCUCCUAAGCUGUCACCAAACUCCAGUAUUAAGGGAUAAGUAGCUGUGCAGGGGCUGGAGACAAAGAAGACUCCAGGAGCACAGUGUGGGAAGGGAUUUCCCUAAAAUUGUUGCUGGAGAAUAACCCCCAAGUCAGGGAGUGGUAGGAAUUAAGGCUAGUGAGAUGGCCAAAGAUAAACCACAAAGCUCAUCUUAUGGGUUUGUGCUUUAUCCUGUGGGUGACAGGAAGCCAAUGAGUCGCUGCAGCAGCAGUGACAGACAGCAUUUAUGAGCUCCUAACACAUGCCAGCUCACAUUCUAUGUUCUGUAUAUGUAUCACCUCCUGGAACCAUCAGAGUCACGCAUGAGUCCAGUUUUUUGUUUCAUUUUGUUUUUAAUUAUUUGUUUAUUUAGAGAGAGAGUGCACCUGUGUUGCUGCUGGAGUGCAGUUAUGCGAUCUUGGCUCACUGCAACCUCCACCUCCCGGGUUCAAGCGAUUCUUAUGCCUCAGCCUCCCGGUAGCUGGGAUUACAGGCGCCUGCCACCACCCCCAGCUAGUUUUUGUAUUUUUAGUAGAGAAGAGGUUUCGCCAUGUUGGCCAGGCUGGUCUCAAACUCCUGACCUCAGGUGAUCCACCCGCCACGGCCUCCCAAAGUGCUGGUACUGCAGGCAUGAGCCACCACGCCCCAGGUAGGUUUUGUGCAUUGGUUGAGCACUCUUGAAGCUCCAGAAACAGGCACAGCACUGGAGCUGGCUGGAAUACCUUAUUCUUCAAUCCCAGUGAUUGGUAUGGGGUCACCUGGUGACCCAACCAGAGAGAAUAAGAGGGACUCUCCCACCUAUGGCUCUGCCUCUCUGCUGGUGUUAGAGCCCCUUUGCCUCUUACCACAAAAUGGACAAUCACCCACAGAAGGACCGGCUGGGAACUUUAUUCCAGAACCUUCCAUGGCUACUGUUGAGCAGCCCAUUGUGUUCUGUUUUGCAGGGCACUCAGGAUUCCCCAGUGACCAGGUGUGGGUGGCUCAUGUCUGUAAUCCAAGCACUUUGGGAGGCUGAGACAGGAGGACCACCUGAGACCAGGAGUUCCAGACCAGCCCAGGCAGCACAGAGAGACCCCAUCUCUACAAAAAACACAAAAAUUACCCAGCUGUGGUGCCACACUCCUGUAGUCCCAGCAACUCGGGAGACUGAGGCAGGAGGAUCCCUUGAGCCCAGUAGUUCAAAGCUGCAGUGAGCUAUGAGAGCUAUGAUCGAUCACACCACUGUACUACAGCCUGGGUGACAGAACAGGACCCUGUCUCUAAAACAAAACGAAACAAAAAUUCUCUCCACCUAGUCUCUCCCUCUCCCACACUCUCAUUUUCAACUUCACUUUCCCCCAAUCCAGGUUGUGUGCCUCAGAUAGGUGAGAAAAAUGCUUUUCCUUCUUAUAGCCAUAUUUGUUUCUACCUCCUUGCCUUUAAUUUGUCUGUGGUCUCAACCUGGGAUACCCACCCUCUUGAUGUAAUUGAAUUGGUGGAGCAUCUAGUCCAGGCUACACUCUGGAGGAUGCAAAGAUAAAUAAUAGACCUCGGUAGCUUCAAUGCUCUG
rnacentral:lncRNA from 1 species